rnacentral:rRNA from 1 species
GACGAACGCUGGCGGCGUGCUUAACACAUGCAAGUCGAACGGAAAGGCCCUGCUUUCGUGGGGUGCUCGAGUGGCGAACGGGUGAGUAACACGUGAGUAACCUGCCCUUGACUUUGGGAUAACUUCAGGAAACUGGGGCUAAUACCGUAUAGGAGCUCCUGCUGCAUGGUGGGGGUUGGAAAGUUUCGGCGGUUGGGGAUGGAUUCGCGGCUUAUCAGCUUGCUGGUGGGGUAGUGGCAUACCAAGGCUUUGACGGGUAGCCGGCCUGAGAGGGUGACCGGCCACAUUGGGACUGCGAUACGGCCCAGACGCCUACAGGAGGCAGCAGUGGGGAGUAUUACACAAUGGGCGGAAGCCUGAUGCAGCAGCGCCGCGUGCGGGAUGACGGCCUUCGGGUUGUAAACCGCUUUAGCCUGUGACGAAGCGGGAGUGACGGUAAUGGGUAAAGAAGCACCGGCUAACUACGUG